GAAAUGCUGUUGUUUCUCGUUAGAUGUAACUUCCCUGGGGCCGAUAUUAAUCCUUAAGGGAGCUGUCUCUGCCAGAGUUUGUGGACUCCGGUAUAUGGCACCCACCUGCUAAUGCGGGCCACACGAGGAUGACUUUCAUCGACGGUUAUGACGGCUUUUCC
rfam:Candidatus Caedibacter acanthamoebae, complete genome.